rnacentral:rRNA from 1 species
GACGAACGCUGGCGGCGUGCCUAAUACAUGCAAGUUGAGCGCUGAAGGUUGGUACUUGUACCAACUGGAUGAGCAGCGAACGGGUGAGUAACGCGUGGGGAAUCUGCCUUUGAGCGGGGGACAACAUUUGGAAACGAAUGCUAAUACCGCAUAAAAACUUUAAACACAAGUUUUAAGUUUGAAAGAUGCAAUUGCAUCACUCAAAGAUGAUCCCGCGUUGUAUUAGCUAGUUGGUGAGGUAAAGGCUCACCAAGGCGAUGAUACAUAGCCGACCUGAGAGGGUAAUCGGCCAAACUGGGACUGAGACACGGCCCAAACUCCUGCGAGAGGCAGCAGUAGGGAAUCUUCGGGAAUGGACGAAAGUCUGAACGAGCAACGACGCGUGAGAGAAGAAGGUUUUAGGAUCGUAAAACUCUGUUAGUAGAGAGGAACGUUGGGGAGAGUGGAAAGCUCAUCAAGUGACGGUAACUACAGAAAAAGGGACGGCUAACUACGUG